rnacentral:rRNA from 1 species
GACGAACGCUGGCGGCGUGCUUAACACAUGCAAGUCGAGCGGUAAGGCCUUUCGGGGUCCACGAGCGGCGAACGGGUGAGUAACACGUGGGUGAUCUGCCCUGCACUUCGGGAUAAGCCUGGGAAACUGGGUCUAAUACCGGAUAUGACCUCCUAUCGCAUGGUGGGUGGUGGAAAGAUUUAUCGGUGCAGGAUGGGCCCGCGGCCUAUCAGCUUGUUGGUGGGGUAAUGGCCUACCAAGGCGACGACGGGUAGCCGACCUGAGAGGGUGACCGGCCACACUGGGACUGAGACACAGCCCAGACUCCUACGGGAGGCAGCAGUGGGGAAUAUUGCACAAUGGGCGAAAGCCUGAUGCAGCGACGCCGCGUGAGGGAUGACGGCCUUCGGGUUGUAAACCUCUUUCAGCAGGGACGAAGCGCAAGUGACGGUACCGGCAGAAGAAGCACCGGCUAACUACGU